rnacentral:rRNA from 1 species
ACGGAGGAUGCGAGCGUUAUCCGGAUUUAUUGGGUUUAAAGGGUGCGUAGGCGGAUUAAUAAGUCAGUGGUGAAAUCCUGCAGCUUAACUGAGGAACUGCCAUUGAUACUGUUAGUCUUGAGUAUGGUCAAGGUAGGCGGAAUGCGUAAUGUAGCGGUGAAAUCCUUAGAUAUUACGCAGAACACCGAUUGCGAAGGCGGCUAACUGGGCCAUAACUGACGCUGAUUCGCGAAAGCGUGGGGAGCGAACAG